UACGUAGGGGGCAAGCGUUGUCCGGAUUCAUUGGGCGUAAAGAGCGUGUAGGCGGCCAGGUAGGUCGGUUGUGAAAACUGGAGGCUCAACCUUCAGAGGUCGACCGAAACCAUCUGGCUAGAGUCCGGGAGAGGAGAGUGGAAUUCCUGGUGUAGCGGUGAAAUGCGCAGAUAUCAGGAAGAACACCCGUGGCGAAAGCGGCUCCCUGGUCCAGCACCGACGUUCAGGCACGAAAGCGUGGGGAGCAAACAGG
rnacentral:rRNA from 1 species